AUUAGAUACCCUAUUAUUUUUAUUGUAAAAUUUAUUUUAAUAAGCUAGAGUAAUAUUAGUUAAGAUCUUAAAACUUAAAGAAUUUGGCGGUAUUAUAAUCUAUUUAGAGGAAUCUGUUAUGUAAUCGAUAAUCCACGUUGAACCUUACUUAUAUUAGUUCUUGUAUACCGCUGUUUAUGAAUAUAUUAAGAAAUAAUAUUCGGAAUAAAUUAGUAAUUAAAAUUUCAAGUCAAGGUGCAGUAAUAUAUAUGUUGAAUAAUGGAUUACAAUAAAUUAAAUUUAAAUGGAUAGUUUUUGAAAAAGAAUUAUGAAGGUGGAUUUAUUAGUAAUUUUUUUAAGAUUAUUAAAAUGAUUAGAGCUCUAUAAUAUGUACACAUCGCCCG
rnacentral:rRNA from 1 species